GUCCAGACUCCUACGGGAGGCAGCAGUGGGGGAUAUUGCACAAUGGGGGGAACCCUGAUGCAGCGACGCCGCGUGGGUGAAGGAGCGUUUCGGCGCGUAAAGCCCUAUCGGCAGGGAAGAAGAUGACGGUACCUGACCAAGGAGCCCCGGCUAACUACGUGCCAGCAGCCGCGGUAAUACGUAGGGGGCAAGCGUUAUCCGGAUUUACUGGGUGUAAAGGGAGCGUAGACGGCGAUACAAGUCUGAAGUGAAAGCCCGGGGCUCAACCCCGGGACUGCUUUGGAAACUGUGUUGCUGGAGUGCUGGAGAGGCAAGCGGAAUUCCUAGUGUAGCGGUGAAAUGCGUAGAUAUUAGGAAGAACACCAGUGGCGAAGGCGGCUUGCUGGACAGUAACUGACGUUGAGGCUCGAAAGCGUGGGGAGCAAACAGGAUUAGAUACCCCAGUA
rnacentral:rRNA from 1 species